rnacentral:rRNA from 1 species
AUUGAACGCUGGCGGCAGGCCUAACACAUGCAAGUCGAGCGAGCGGCGGACGGGUGAGUUAUGUAUGGGAACCUGCCUGAUGGAGGGGGAUAACUACGGGAAACGGUAGUUAAUACCGCAUACCAUCAGAUGAACCCAUAUGGGAGUAGCUUGUAGGUGAGGUAACGGCUUACCUGGCCGACGAUGCCUAGCUGGUCUGAGAGGAUGAUGAGCCACAUUGGGCAUAAUCCGCGGCCCAUACGCCUACGUGAGGCAGCAGUGGGAAAUAUGGCACAUAUGGCGCAAGCCGGAUGAAGCCAUGCCGCGGGUGUGAAGAAGGCGUUCGGGUUGUAAAGUUCGUUCACUCGGUAGGCGUUAGCGACAGAAGAAGCGCCGGCUAACUCCGUGCCAGCAGCCGCGGUAAUUC